CCUACGGGUGGCAGCAGUGAGGAAUAUUGCACAAUGGUGGGAACCCUGAUGCAGCGACGCCGCGUGAGUGAAGAAGGAUUUCGGUAUGUAAAGCUCUAUCAGCCGGGGAGAAAAUGACGGUACCUGUUUCCGAAGCCCCGGCUAACUACGUGCCAGAAGCCGCGGUAAUACGUAGGGGGCAGGCGUUAUCCGGAUUUACUGGGUGUAAAGGGAGCGUAGACGGCAGAACAAGUCUGGAGUGAAAUGCCGGGGCGUAACCCCGGAACUGCUGUGGAAACUGGGCAGCUAGAGUGCAGGAGAGGUAAGUGGAAUUCGUAGUGUAGCGGUGAAAUGCGUAGAUAUUAGGAGGAACACCAGUUGCGAAGGCGGCUUACUGGAUUGUAACUGACGUUGAGGCGCGAAAGCGUGGGGAGCAAACAGGAUUAGAUACCCUAGUAGUC
rnacentral:rRNA from 1 species